rnacentral:lncRNA from 1 species
AGGAUGUUUUAAAAUGCUUAUGCUCCAACAAUUAGCAUGUGUACACCAAUGGAAUAUCAACUAACUGCAAUGGUACUGCAGUGGCAGUACAUGCUAAGGGCUCAAAGAUUUUUAUAAUUACUGAUCCUCUUGUUCAAAAAAAUCAUUUCUUUUGGCGAGUAAAAACUUUCAAUGUCAGCCUUGUCCAUGCCACAAUUGCAGAGUAUGUACUAAUCAAUAUGAACAAAGGAGAAAACAUGCACGAGAAUAAAUUAAAAACACGGCGUACAUACCACAAUGCAGUU